UGGGGAAUAUUGGACAAUGGGGGCAACCCUGAUCCAGCCAUGCCGCGUGAGUGAUGAAGGCCUUCGGGUUGUAAAGCUCUUUUGGCGGGGACGAUGAUGACGGUACCCGCAGAAUAAGCCCCGGCUAACUUCGUGCCAGCAGCCGCGGUAAGACGAAGGGGGCUAGCGUUGUUCGGAAUUACUGGGCGUAAAGCGAGUGUAGGCGGUUGCCGUAGUCAGGUGUGAAAGCCUUGAGCUCAACUCAAGAAAUGCACUUGAUACUGGGUGACUAGAGGACCGGAGAGGAUAGUGGAAUUCCCAGUGUAGUGGUGAAAUACGUAGAGAUUGGGAAGAACACCAGUGGCGAAGGCGGCUAUCUGGACGGUUACUGACGCUAAGACUCGAAAGCGUGGGGAGCAAACAGGAUUAGAUACCCUGGUAGUCCACGCCGUAAACGAUGGGUGCUAGACGUUGGCGAGCUUGCUCGUCAGUGUCGCAGCUAACGCGUUAAGCACCCCGCCUGGGGAGUACGGCCGCAAGGUUGAAACUCAAAAUGAAUUGACGGGGGUCAUAGCUG
rnacentral:rRNA from 1 species